GCCCCGGUAAACGGCGGCCGUAACUAUAACGGUCCUAAGGUAGCGAAAUUCCUUGUCGGGUAAGUUCCGACCUGCACGAAUGGCGUAAUGAUGGCCAGGCUGUCUCCACCCGAGACUCAGUGAAAUUGAACUCGCUGUGAAGAUGCAGUGUACCCGCGGCAAGACGGAAAGACCCCGUGAACCUUUACUAUAGCUUGACACUGAACACUGGUCCUUGAUGUGUAGGAUAGGUGGGAGGCUUUGAAGCGUGGACGCCAGUCUGCGUGGAGCCAACCUUGAAAUACCACCCUUUAAUGGCUGGUGUUCUAACGUAGACCCGUAAUCCGGGUUGCGGACAGUGUCUGGUGGGUAGUUUGACUGGGGCGGUCUCCUCCCAAAGAGUAACGGAGGAGCACGAAGGUUAGCUAAUCCUGGUCGGACAUCAGGAGGUUAGUGCAAUGGCAUAAGCUAGCUUGACUGCGAGAGUGACGGCUCGAGCAGGUGCGAAAGCAGGUCAUAGUGAUCCGGUGGUUCUGAAUGGAAGGGCCAUCGCUCAACGGAUAAAAGGUACUCCGGGGAUAACAGGCUGAUACCGCCCAAGAGUUCAUAUCGACGGCGGUGUUUGGCACCUCGAUGUCGGCUCAUCACAUCCUGGGGCUGAAGUAGGUCCCAAGGGUAUGGCUGUUCGCCAUUUAAAGUGGUACGCGAGCUGGGUUUAGAACGUCGUGAGACAGUUCGGUCCCUAUCUGCCGUGGGCGCUGGAGAAUUGAGGGGGGCUGCUCCUAGUACGAGAGGACCGGAGUGGACGCAUCACUGGUGUUCGGGUUGUCAUGCCAAUGGCACUGCCCGGUAGCUAAAUGCGGAAGAGAUAAGUGCUGAAAGCAUCUAAGCACGAAACUUGCCCCGAGAUGAGUUCUCCCUGAGACUUUAAGUCUCCUGAAGGAACGUUGAAGACUACGACGUUGAUAGGUCGGGUGUGUAAGCGCAGCGAUGCGUUGAGCUAACCGAUACUAAUGAACCGUGAGGCUUAACCUU
rnacentral:rRNA from 1 species